CCUACGGGGUGCUGCAGUGGGGAAUAUUGGACAAUGGGCGAAAGCCUGAUCCAGCCAUGCCGCGUGUGUGAAGAAGGCCUUCGGGUUGUAAAGCACUUUCAGUGGGGAAGAAAGCCUUGGGGCUAAUACCCUCGAGGAAGGACAUCACCCACAGAAGAAGCACCGGCUAACUCCGUGCCAGCAGCCGCGGUAAUACGGAGGGUGCGAGCGUUAAUCGGAAUGACUGGGCGUAAAGCGCGCGUAGGCGGUCUGAUAAGCCGGUUGUGAAAGCCCCGUGCUCAACCUGGGAACGGCAUCCGGAACUGUCAGGCUAGAGUGCAGGAGAGGAAGGUAGAAUUCCCGGUGUAGCGGUGAAAUGCGUAGAGAUCGGGAGGAAUACCAGUGGCGAAGGCGGCCUUCUGGACUGACACUGACGCUGAGGUGCGAAAGCGUGGGUAGCAAACAGGAUUAGAUACCCUUGUAGUC
rnacentral:rRNA from 1 species